GAUGAACGCUGGCGGCGUGCUUAACACAUGCAAGUCGAACGGAAAGGCUCCUGCUUGCAGGGGUACUCGAGUGGCGAACGGGUGAGUAACACGUGGGUGAUCUGCCCUGCACUUCGGGAUAAGCCUGGGAAACUGGGUCUAAUACCGGAUAGGACGAUGGUUUGGAUGCCAUUGUGGAAAGUUUUUCGGUGUGGGAUGAGCUCGCGGCCUAUCAGCUUGUUGGUGGGGUAAUGGCCUACCAAGGCGUCGACGGGUAGCCGGCCUGAGAGGGUGUACGGCCACAUUGGGACUGAGAUACGGCCCAGACUCCUACGGGAGGCAGCGGUGGGGAAUAUUGCACAAUGGGCGCAAGCCUGAUGCAGCGACGCCGCGUGGGGGAUGACGGCCUUCGGGUUGUAAACUCCUUUCGCUAGGGACGAAGCGUUUUGUGACGGUACCUGGAGAAGAAGCACCGGCUAACUACGUG
rnacentral:rRNA from 1 species